ACACCUGGAUGUGCUCACUCAACCAAGAAUAUAGAGAAAGAGCUUCUGCCCUGAGACUCAGAAAAAUAUUCUCCUCUGCUUCGGUUCAGUAUAGAUUUCUAGACCCUGAUCAUUGCUUAAGAGAUAUGCACUGGGGGUCCUACGUCUCUGCAAUUUGUGUAUGAAUAACAGAAUAAUUUCCCUCUUUUGUUUCGCCUUUCCUGUUCCUGAAUCUAAAUAAAGAUGGCUUUUUAGUAUUAAAAGUGGAAGAAAAUUACAGUUGCUGAGACAGAGGGAAAACUCACUCCUUUGGAGGAGCACGGCCUUUUCCUAUAUUGCUUCCCACUGCUGCCAUUGAACUCCUUGAACUCGGGACCCUGCAAACCAUCAUCAACAAGACGUUACGGAUGGGCUGUCCACCCCCUGAGAGAAGAGGAAUAUCAACUGCAGUUUCUCACUAGAUUGCCUUCUUCAUCUCAAGUAAUGACUGUCAUCAGGAUCAGAUUAAAGAUGAACCAGCUGGACAACUGCUUGGAGGACUAACCUAUAAGGGCACUAAAAUAUCAGUAGUGUGCUAACUACAUCCGUGGAAACACAAGGAGAGGAAAAUAUAUUUACCAGCCCUUCUUCCCAGGGAGAAUUCUGUGUGUGAUUGGAAGGAAUGGUUCAAUAAAUUCCUUAAGGG